rnacentral:ncRNA from 1 species
UUAGUACUUCGUUCUGAUACCAGGUUAGCUUUAGCCCCUAAACUUCAUAUGGUAACCUACAUACUUUGUGAAUAAGCCCCACGUACUACUGAGGUUACCAUUUAAAAUGGUAACUGCAACCCAUUUUUGCAUCAUACUGGGGUGGGAUAACCUCACAGGCCAACCCAAGAUAAUAACCAUAUUCCACAACACCAAUGACUUAUUUUGCAAUAGCUAGGCAACUAGGCCACAGAGACGGCUUACAAAAGUGACCAAGAAGGUGCCAGCAGUCGCGGUUAAACCUUCGCUCUACGCUAACCCACACAACUUAAGAUUGGUAACACAAUCGUGACUACAAACCCCCCUCUAGAGGUAAAAUUCAUAGCUCAAGGGAAUACCCAACCAAGUCUUCACAAUACCUUUCAACAAACCAUAGCACAAAACAGGGAUUAGAUACCCCACUAUUGCAUGGCCCAACACAACAAAUACUAAAAACGAAAGUUUAAAACUUAAAGAACCGUGGCGAUGUUCUAAUUCCAUAUUAGGGGAUCCUGUGCCUUUAUUCGAUAAUCCACGCAAAUCAAAGCUUUAUUAGUACUCAGCUUGUGUAUGGCCGUUUAAGCUUGCUCACCCUAAAGACACAAAAGGAAGCAAAUAACGAACAAACAACUCAUCAAUUCAGGUGACAUACAGCCAAUAUAAAGCAGGCCAUGGGAUACAAAUAAACAUUAUUACCCGACAGUAAGAAGAAACCCUUACUACAAGGAGGACUUAAAAGUAAGGUCAUCGACAAAAAUACGACCUGAAUAAGAUCUAGAACGCGCACAAAUCGCCCGUCACUCCCGCACUCAAUAAAGUGGGAUAAGUCGUAACACAGUUGGGGUAAUGGAAAUUGCCCCUAUUA